CGCGCGCGCGCCCCCGCCAACGGCUCCCGGUCGCCCCCCGAGGAGCGGCGGGGAGGGCGACGCCGGCCAGGGCGUCGUUGUAAUGGGGGGAAGGAAGGGCGGGUUAACGCCGGGCCUGGACACUCGACACCGGGAGAUAACAGAUGUAUAUAUCAUGCAAAAGAUCUCAAGUAAAAACAUGCUGGACCAACUUUCCCACAAAAUAAAAUCAGAAAAUGCUGGAAACACUCUGCAAGUCAGAUUUAUAUGUCUGCAGUGAAGAAACAGCACUAAUCAUCCAUCAUGCUGACAGCUGCCCAGGAACUUUCUGCUAGUUUUUGAGUGGCAACUUAUGAUAGCUAGAGAUCACUUUAAGUUUGCCAUUUUCCACAAUCUGUACAAUGUUUUGGGUAGGACAAACAACGGUGUGACUCUUCAAUCAAACUUUCCUUGAGGCAUGCAGACCUAAUCAAAAUGGAGAAGAAAUCAUGAAGCCUAAGUUAAAUUUAAUUCAUAUUUUAAUUAAAUUUAACUA